rnacentral:rRNA from 1 species
AUUCCAGCUCCAAUGGCGUAUAUUAAAGUUGUUGCAGUUAAAAAGCUCGUAGUUGGAUUUCUGGCGGGAGCGACCGGUCGGCCCUUGUGGUGUGUACUAGCGUUGCGUCCGGCCAUAUUUGCGGAGAGCGUGUGUGGCAUUAAUUUGUCGUGCACGGGACCCGCAUCGUUUACUGUGAGAAAAUUAGAGUGUUCAAAGCAGGCUUAUGCCUUGGAUAUGUUAGCAUGGAAUAAUAAGAUAAGACUUUGGCGGUCUAUUUUGUUGGUUUGCACGCCAUUGUAAUGAUUGAUAGGGACAGUUGGGGGUAUUCAUAUUUAAUUGUCAGAGGUGAAAUUCUUGGAUUUAUGAAAGAUGAACUACUGCGAAAGCAUUUACCAAGGAUGUUUUCAUUA